rnacentral:rRNA from 14 species
ACAAACCGGAGGAAGGUGGGGAUGACGUCAAGUCAUCAUGCCCCUUAUGUCCAGGGCUUCACGCAUGCUACAAUGGCUGGUACAGAGAGUGGCGAGCCUGUGAGGGUGAGCGAAUCUCGGAAAGCCGGUCUCAGUUCGGAUUGGGGUCUGCAACUCGACCCCAUGAAGUCGGAGUCGCUAGUAAUCGCAGAUCAGCAACGCUGCGGUGAAUACGUUCCCGGGCCUUGUACACACCGCCCGUCACGUCAUGAAAGUUGGUAACACCCGAAGCCGGUGGCCUAACCGUUGUGGGGGAGCCGUCGAAGGUGGGACUGGUGAUUAGGACUAAGUCGUAACAAGGUAGCCGUACC